rnacentral:RNase_P_RNA from 1 species
CAGGUAAACCUGACAAUAGCUUGUUUUAACAAGAGGAAAGUCCGGGCUGCAGUGAAGCAGAGUUCCAUUUAAAGAAUGGCUAGGGUAACCUAAGGGAUAGUGCAACAGAGAGUAAACAGCCAAUUUUUUGGUGAUGGUGAAACGGUGAGGUAAGAGCUCACCAGACUUUUGAGUAAUCUUAAGUGCUUUGUAAACCCAACUCGCAGCAAGAAGACCUGGUAUUAAGCUUCACACUUUUGGUCUUUGCAAGAUUAGCUAAGUAAUUUGCUAACUAGAUAAAUUAUUGUCACAAUAACAGAACUCGGCUUAUGGGUUUACCUC